CUCCGAGGUCAUCCGCACCUGGUCCACAUCUCCGAACACCUGCAAAGAGGGGCUCAGCGUGGAGAGAAAGUUCUGGAGCGAAGUAGUGGUGGUGGUUGCACUGCACCGUGAAUGCACUAAAUGCCACCGAACUGUAUACUUUAAAAUGGUUAAAAUGAUGAGGUGCUAUGUCCUGAUGGGGGCAGCCAAGGCCUAGGGCCCUGCAGGAGUCGGAAGAGGGCCUCUGCUCCCAGCCGCAGCUGCCGGGAGCCCAGGCCGGGCCUGACCUCCUGGGAUUGCUACGUCCUGUGGUGCAUGUUUGGACGAGGCAGAGCUCCAGGAUGAGGCGCCAAGCCCGGACUCAAAUCCCAGCUCCCACAUCUCCUCCCUGCAGGGCCUUGACCUUCUGAGACGCAGCUUUCUCCUCUGCUGUGGGGAGGCAACAGUCCUUUCCUCGUAAACUUGUCCUGAGGCUGAAAUGAGUCAAUGCAUGCAGAGUGCCUGGCACCAAGCCUGGCACAGAGUGACUGCUCCCGAGUGGCACUUGCUAUCAGAGCUGCUGCCAACAACCCUCCCUCACACUUUCUACCUCUCUUUGCUCUCACCACACCCCGUCUUAGAGAGGAGAAAUCUGAGCAUCAGAGAAGACUAAGGGCUUGCCAAGGGUCACACAGCACAGCCUGACUCCAAGAUCUGUUUUACAUGCUGUUCCUCCCAUGACCACCCGAAGUCACCAGGCAAGGGCUUCUCUAGCCCCUGGGACACAGAGGGGGCUCUGGGGGAGCAUAGGACCUGGGGCUUCCUUCCGCCAGGCCUGACCCACCCUGCCCUCGGCAUGAGGGCAGGAGGUGCUGCCAAGCAGGAAAGCCCCUACCUCAGCCCCCCAUCUCUCCCUGCAGCCUGGCCCAGCACACACUGCCAAAGCCCCCAGACGUGGGGGUGGACAGUGUUUAAAAAGGUCCCUAGGUAUUUGCAAGGAAAUCCCACAGUGAGAUGGCAAGAAGGCGUACUUGAGGUUUUUCUUAAGAGAGAUGGAGAAAUCUGGCUGGAAUUGGGAAGAGGGGAUUCAAGCUAUGAAAUGUUCUAGAACUGGAAGAAGCUCAAAUUGUGACACCUUGAGGUCGAGUCUUCCCUCUUCUCUCAUGGCCAGCUUCCAUGUCCGCCUGCAGCAGAGACCCCCCUCCUGUAGAGCUCACUGCCAACUGGACACCUCCCCCUGGAUGCCCGCAGGCAUCCCUGACUUAAUCCAUCCAAAACUGGAUCCAGCAUCUUCUCCCAAACCCUUGUCUAACCCUCCUGCCCAACCCAGAUCUCUGAGCCUCCUUUUUGUUGUUGUUGUUUUUAAUCCUUACCUGAGAAUAUUUUUCCAUUGAUCUUUAGAGAGAGAGAGAGAGGGUACAAGGGAGAGAAAGGGGGAGGAGGGAGAGAGAGACACAUCAAUUGGUUGCCUCCUGCACGCACCCCAACUGGGGCCGGGGAUCAAACCUGCAACCAAGGUACAUGCCUUUGACUGGGAACUGAACCCGUGACACUUCAGUCCUUGGGGCCAACUCUAACCACUGAGUAAAACCAGCCAGAGCUGAGCCUCCUCCUUACUCUGGACAACCCAUCCGCCAUGUUCUUCUGAUUCUUCAUCCAAAGUGUUUCCCUUGCCGAAACCGGUUUGGCUCAGUGGAUAGAGCAUCGGCCUGUAGACUGAAGGGUCCCGGGUUCGAUUCCGGUCAAGGGCAUGUACCUUGGUUGCCGGCACAUCCCCAGUGGGGGUGUGUGUGUGUGUGUGUG